GAUGAACGCUGGCGGCGUGCCUAAUACAUGCAAGUCGAGCGAACGGACGAGAAGCUUGCUUCUCUGAUGUUAGCGGCGGACGGGUGAGUAACACGUGGAUAACCUACCUAUAAGACUGGGAUAACUUCGGGAAACCGUAGCUAAUACCGGAUAAUAUUUUGAACCGCAUGGUUCAAAAGUGAAAGACGGUCUUGCUAUCACUUAUAGAUGGAUCCGCGCUGCAUUAGCUAGUUGGUAAGGUAACGGCUUACCAAGGCAACGAUGCAUAGCCGACCUGAGAGGGUGAUCGGCCACACUGGAACUGAGACACGGUCCAGACUCCUACGGGAGGCAGCAGUAGGGAAUCUUCCGCAAUGGGCGAAGGCCUGACGGAGCAACGCCGCGUGAGUGAUGAAGGUCUUCGGAUCAUAAAACUCUGUUAUUAGGGAAGAACAUAUGUGUAAGUAACUGUGCACAUCUUGACGGUACCUAAUCAGAAAGCCACGGCUAACUACGUG
rnacentral:rRNA from 1 species